GUCGGGAAUUUUGCGCAAUGGCCGCAAGGCUGACGCAGCAACGCCGCGUGAGUGAAGAAGGCCUUCGGGUUGUAAAGCUCUGUUGCCCGUGACGAACGGCCGGACCAGGAAAUGGGUGCGGCGUGACGGUAGCGGGAGAGGAAGCCCCGGCUAACUACGUGCCAGCAGCCGCGGUAAUACGUAGGGGGCGAGCGUUGUCCGGAUUUAUUGGGCGUAAAGGGCGUGUAGGCGGCCGGGUAAGUCCGAGGUGAAAGACCGCAGCUCAACUGCGGGCAGGCCUCGGAAACUGCUUGGCUGGAGUGCUCUAGAGGGUAGUGGAAUUGCCGGUGUAGCAGUGAAAUGCGUAGAGAUCGGCAGGAACACCAGUGGCGAAGGCGACUGCCUGGGGAGUAACUGACGCUGAGGCGCGAAAGCUGGGGGAGCAAACGGGAUUAGAAACCCCAGUAGUCC
rnacentral:rRNA from 1 species